UGGGGAAUAUUGGGCAAUGGGCGAAAGCCUGACCCAGCAACGCCGCGUGAACGAAGAAGGUCUUCGGAUUGUAAAGUUCUGUCCUAUGGGACGAAGAAAGUGACGGUACCAUAGGAGGAAGCCCCGGCUAACUACGUGCCAGCAGCCGCGGUAAUACGUAGGGGGCAAGCGUUGUCCGGAAUUACUGGGCGUAAAGGGUGCGUAGGCGGCGCCUUAAGUCAGAUGUGAAAUAUCCAUGCUUAACGUGGAGGGUGCAUCUGAUACUGGGGCACUUGAGUGCAGGAGAGGAAAGUGGAAUUCCUAGUGUAGCGGUGAAAUGCGUAGAUAUUAGGAGGAACACCAGUGGCGAAGGCGACUUUCUGGACUGUAACUGACGCUGAGGCACGAAAGCGUGGGGAGC
rnacentral:rRNA from 1 species